CCCAGAUGUGCCACCGCUGGCGCGACAGGUGGGGACGCGCGGAGCCUCUCCCGACCCCCGCCCCCAGCACAAAGAUGCCCAGGACCACAAACCCCGAGGGGCGAACGCAGGGUCAGGGACAUCAUUCCCUUGCACUGCCACCCCGGGACCUGCCCCACACCUGCUGGUCCUAAACCCACUUCCCCAGCCUCCUCCUUCCAGAGAGGAAUUUUUUGGCGAGCCCUGGAAUCCAGGCCCUUCAGAGAAGCUGCAUCACGCAUGGACACUCACACAAGCAGACUGGCUGUAGUAGGAUGCAACUGUCCUAAAGCAAUUAGGAUUCUCAUAGGUACAAACAUGUCAGAGCCACACUCGGGAAGACUUAUUGAUAAGAAAUAUUGAAAAUCUCAACCAAAAUAUGAUGCUUAAGUCCAGAUGAGGAUGUCUUCUGAAGUAGAAAGGAAUGACCACACCAGUCAGAGUGAAGCCAUGGUAGAGUGGGGUUGAAAUCUGAUUCAAACACGAGCCCUCUGUUCAGUU